AGUUUUGUUUAUUUUUCAUUGAACUGAAUUCGAAUUUGGGAUGUUAAGAUUCGAUCGAUCUCGAGUCAAAUUUCGAGUCUGAGUAUUUUGAAUCGAGUCGAACUCAAAUUUCCAGCUAUUCGACUCGAUCCGACUUGAUUGCAUCUCCAAUUUAAAAUCCAUAAAAUCAUGUCAUAAUAAAAUAAUAUUAAUAUCACACCA
rnacentral:lncRNA from 1 species